rnacentral:rRNA from 1 species
GACGAACGCUGGCGGCGUGCUUAACACAUGCAAGUCGAACGGAAAGGCCCUGCUUUUGUGGGGUGCUCGAGUGGCGAACGGGUGAGUAACACGUGAGUAACCUGCCCUUGACUUUGGGAUAACUUCAGGAAACUGGGGCUAAUACCGGAUAGGAGCUCCUGCUGCAUGGUGGGGGUUGGAAAGUUUCGGCGGUUGGGGAUGGACUCGCGGCUUAUCAGCUUGUUGGUGGGGUAGUGGCUUACCAAGGCUUUGACGGGUAGCCGGCCUGAGAGGGUAACCGGCCACAUUGGGACUGAGAUACGGCCCAGACUCCUAUGGGAGGCAGCAGUGGGGAAUAUUGCACAAUGGGCGGAAGCCUGAUGCAGCAACGCCGCGUGCGGGAUGACGGCCUUCGGGUUGUAAACCGCUUUCGCCUGUGACGAUGCGUGAGUGACGGUAAUGGGUAAAGAAGUACCGGCUAACUACGUGCCAGCAGCCGCCGUAACAC